UCUCUCUCUCUCUCUCUCUCUCCUUCCCACCCCCACCUGCUCUUUCGUUCCUUCCUUCUUCCUUCUCUCUCUUUCGAUUUCCUAUCUCUUUGCUCAUAAUGUAUAACUUCAUACGAAAAAAAUAUCUCUCUCUCUCUCCCUUUCCCUCCUUCUUUCUCUCUCUGUAUCUAUCUAUCUAUCCAUCCAUCUUAUUAUUUUGUAUACGUAUGUACAGUAAGUCCCAAAAGUAUUUAUAUCCUUAUAACAUUCAAAAGAUCGUUAUUAUGUUUAUAGAAUCGUAACGAAGAUGUUAAUAAUAUUUUCAAAAUUGAUUGUAGCCUGCAUAUAUUUUUGGAAUUCAUUGUAUGUUGUACGAGCACGCGCAUCUUCCAUAUCCUUUCUCUCUCCCUCCCUCUCUAUCUCCCUCACUCUCUCUCUCUCUCUCUCUGGACUUCUAUUUUACUCCCACUUCCUCUCUUUCUUUAGUUAGUUGUCGACGAUCAAUCGACCAACUUUAUUGUUAUUGUCCUUAUCGUUCUAAAAUGCAAUAAAAAUAUUACUUUGAUUCUAUAACUCAACAAUGAAAUCGAUUAUAACGAUUAGAUAUUUUUGGACGAUACCAGGAAAACUUAUAAGAAACUUAUGAAGGUUAAUAAUAAAUAAUUAUAUGCGGCACAUGGAGUAAAAGAUGAAAUCUUAUCAAUGAUUCAGAUUGCAAAGAGUAAUACUUUGAAAGUAUUGAAGUUCAGAAAGUAGUAAAAAAUGAAGAGAAGGAGAAUUCAGAUAUAAGGUCACGACGAAGGAAAAGCGAAAGAAGACGAUGUUACUAAAGAAGUUUACUCUAUACAUACAUGCAUACACACACAAACAUCUGCGCGCGCGUGUGUAUAUACAUACAAUUACACACGUGCGCGCAUCCACACACACACACACACAGAGAGAGAGAGAGAGAGAGAGAGAGAGAAAGAGAGAAAAAAAGAGCGAAUGAACAGGUUCGUAUUCUUGAUUUCAAGACGACGCAUCGAUGAAUCAAAGAUCUUUUUAAGAAACUCUUCCUGUUCGUAAAUAUGACGAUUUUGAUACGACGAAUAGAGAACAAAUUGGGUCGAGAAUGUGAUAAAUACGAUUUCUUGUUCGUAUUAUAUAUUUUCUCUCUCUCUCUCUCUCUCUCUCUCUCUCUUUCUCUUUCUCUCUCUCCCCCUUUCCACAUACACACAUACACUUAGUUUCUUUACAUUCUCACAUCGUAUAUUAAAAGAUGAUAUUCAUCGGGAUAAAUCUUUAUGAACAGUUUUCUUAAGUUGCAUAUUGAUUACACUAUCGGAGAAACGAUACAUAACAUGGUCAAGGAUAGAACAGCAGUACACGUUAUCUAUGUUGACAAUCGUAAAUCGUUUGAAAAUUAGGAACGAGUAUCUAUUCGUUUUGUUUCAAAAAAUGCACGUAUUUGUUGUAAUAUACAAGUUUUUUUUCUUAAAAGAAUUUAAAAAAGAUUUUUUAUGAAAUAGAAAUUUAUAUAUAGACAUUAGAUUUCUUAUCGAUAAGUUCAUUUUUUAUA